rnacentral:rRNA from 1 species
UACGUAGGGGGCUAGCGUUGUCCGGAAUCAUUGGGCGUAAAGCGCGCGUAGGCGGCCCGGUAAGUCCGCUGUAAAAGUCAAAGGCUCAACCUUUGAAUGUCAGUGGAUACUGCCGGGCUAGAGUCCGGAAGAGGCGAGUGGAACUCCUGGUGUAGCGGUGGAAUGCGCAGAUAUCAGGAAGAACACCGACGGCGAAGGCAGCUCGCUGGGACGGUACUGACGCUGAGGCGCGAAGGCCAGGGGAGCAAACGGG